GUGCAUUACCGUGGCUGGUGUGGCUUCUCAGGAAGCUAUACAUUUCAAAUGUACAAAUGUACAUUUGAAAUACAUUUCAAAUCCUCAUCCUUAGAUUGUCCUUUUUUUUUUUUUUUUUACCACACUACAGCUUAGUUAAAAUACACCCCACUCCUCCUCUCACCCCAGAUUCCUGCCACAUACCUGGCAUUCCUUCAUCCUUAAUGAGAUGAAGGAGUGGGGGAUUUCACCCUCCUGGAAUUUUAGAGGAAUACUAAGUGGAUUUCUCAUGAAAAGCCGUAUUUAGGGUACAAAUGUCCCUCAAAGAGAGUCCCCAUAUGGCAAACCUUGCUUUUGAGGGUAAUGGUGAACAAAGUGUUUAGGUCCUCGUUUAAUAGCUAAUUUGGAAUAUAUAGCAAUAUACAUAAAAUACAUAUAUAUACUUGAAAUAUAUAGCAAUAACAAUCUGGCACAGGGUGCCCAGAGAAGCUGUGGCUGCCCCAUCCCUGGCAGUGUUCAAGGCCAGGUUGGACACAGGGGCUUGGAGCAACCUGCUCUAGUGGAAGGUGUCCCUGCCUGUGGCGGGGGGUUGGAACUGGAUGAGCUUUAAGGUCCCUGCCAACCCAAACUAUUCCAUGGUUCAUUGAUUCUGCUUUGGUCCUGUUGUAAGUAUUGCCAUUGAUGGAGACCAUGUUGGAACAAGCUCCUGGGAGUGUGGAUGAAGCAGAAGAGACUUGCAUCCUUGCAAAUGUAGGUAGGGACACCAGUGGAACUCCUGGGCUGUUGGCACUUGAGAUUUUACCAGUCACUACAGUGUGGACAAACUCUCCAUAGACAAGGCAACAUAAAGGUUGUUAAGUCAAAAUAGUUUUCUUCAGGCUCAGUCAUUAGUUGAUCCUAAUAAAGCACAAAGCUGGUUGGAUCAAAGGUUCUUCUGGCCUCAUCCUGGUAGUGACCUCCAGGAGAUGUUGAGGGAGACGUAUAAGAAUAGGAGCAGUAGUGAUCACGUGUGUAAAACAGGAAGAAGAUUGUAAAUAAUUCCAGCUAGUUAACACCACAUAACCAGGAAGGCAUGUGAAUGUGGUGCUCCGGGAGCCUCUCUUUCCAUGGGAUCCAUCACUGUCGCAGGACUUUUACUCGUGUUGAAAGGACAAGUUAAGGCGCCAAAUUACAGAAGUCCACAUUGAUGUGGAUUUUUCAGUAGCAACACUGUGCUGGACUGUGACCAUGCCUUCGGAGCUCUGUGUUGUGCGUGUUCUUAGUUGGCUGUGAUAGCCCCGAACUGUGAUCCAGGAGAAGAGCUGGGAUAGGACACUUGUGUCUGGUCAGUAAGCCCAGCCCUGCCUCCUGCUCUGGAGAGGGGCUUCACUGCAGCCCCCAGGGCAGGUGCAAAGGCAGCAGCAGCCCUGGGUCUGUUGUGUGACAGCCCCACGCUGCUUUCAUCCAGCCCCAUGGUGGCAAAGGGCCACGGGCUGUUCUUGCUGCUGGGGAAACAAUGGAGAGGAAAGCUUUGAUUUCGCCAGUGAUGGACACCCUCCUGCUCAAGGGUGGUGCCGAUGGAAGGAACUGGGGGCCGGGGCUCGGUUUUUUUGCUUUUAUCCUUUGUUAACUGCUGGUAGCUUCUUGUUGUGAGAACUGCCACGACCUCUCUUGAGGGUUUGUUUAUGCGCUUUGGCUGACAUUGUUCGCAGCAGGACUUUGAUACACAGCCCCGGGGGUGUUCUCUGGCUCGGAACAGGAAGAGUUGAGCCCGGCUGAACACCACUGUGCUCCAGCCCGGGAAGAAGAAGGGCUGGUGCCCUGCCAUGGUGGCAGCAUGCAGGGAUGGGACUUCCCAUCGCCUGCGGACGACAAGUCAGUCACAUGCUAUUAUGGACUGUCGCCAGGCUGAUGGCUUGUGCCCUCCUCCCCUCCACAGCAGCAUCUCAUGUCCACAGCAGUUAUGGCCAGGCUGGAGCAGCGGAUGGUGCUGCGCCCCCCGCAGGUGGAGAAGAUGCAAAGAAGAAUCUGGCGUUUACAGGGAUUUGUUGUUUUUCUAAGAGAACAACCAGGAGGCUGCAGGGUCGUGCCUGGAAGAGCUGGGAGAUGCCCAACACAUGAUCUGGGGGAGCUUUGCUCAAGCCUCCUGCUCAUGGUGUCCUGGGGGGUUGCUGGCUGCUCCACCAACCCCUUGUCAGGGCUGAAUUGAGGAAGGAAUGAUUCCCAACUUCUGAGGGCUUCACUUCCCAAAGUACUGUAAAACUUACAUGUCCAUACCUUUUGCAAUAGAUCCUGUUCACAGGAGGCUUUGUUUCUGCACCUCACUGCCCAAAUCCUUCUGGGUAUUGAAAGAAAACAACUUUAAUAAUAAUGCAGAAAU
rnacentral:lncRNA from 1 species